rnacentral:tRNA from 1 species
GACUUUGUGGUGUAAUUGGAAGAGCAUACUUAACUCAUACUCAAGAGAUCCAGGGUUGGAGUCCCAGUGAGGGCA